UGGGGAAUUUUGGACAAUGGGCGAAAGCCUGAUCCAGCAAUGCCGCGUGUGUGAAGAAGGCCUUCGGGUUGUAAAGCACUUUUGUCCGGAAAGAAAUCCUUGGCUCUAAUACAGUCGGGGGUGACGGUACCGGAAGAAUAAGCACCGGCUAACUACGUGCCAGCAGCCGCGGUAAUACGUAGGGUGCAAGCGUUAAUCGGAAUUACUGGGCGUAAAGCGUGCGCAGGCGGUUUGCUAAGACCGAUGUGAAAUCCCCGGGCUCAACCUGGGAACUGCAUUGGUGACUGGCAGGCUAGAGUAUGGCAGAGGGGGGUAGAAUUCCACGUGUAGCAGUGAAAUGCGUAGAGAUGUGGAGGAAUACCGAUGGCGAAGGCAGCCCCCUGGGCCAAUACUGACGCUCAUGCACGAAAGCGUGGGGAGCAAACAGGAUUAGAUACCCUGGUAGUCCACGCCCUAAACGAUGUCAACUAGUUGUUGGGGAUUCAUUUCCUUAGUAACGUAGCUAACGCGUGAAGUUGACCGCCUGGGGAGUACGGUCGC
rnacentral:rRNA from 1 species